UCCAAGAUAUCCCACCUCUAUUUCAUGCCU
rnacentral:piRNA from 1 species